UCCGGUUUGGCACCGGCAGUCCUCCCAGAGUCCUCGGCAUGACCCGGUAGCAACUGGGAGCGGGGGUUGCGCUCGUUGCGGGACUUAACCCAACAUCUCACGGCACGAGCUGACGACAGCCAUGCAGCAUCUGUGCUGGUUCUCGACUUUACGAGUCGUUCCCCUUUCGGGGUUCUACUUCCAGCAUGUCAAGCCUAGGUGAGGUUCUUCGCGUUGCAUCGAAUUAAACCACACGCUCCGCUGCUUGUGCGGGCCCCCGUCAAUUCCUUUGAGUUUCACCCUUGCGGGCGUACUCCCCAGGCGGAGAGCUUAAUGCGUUAGCUGCGCCACUGAAGGGUAAACCCUCCAACGGCUAGCUCUCAUAGUUUACGGCGUGGACUAC
rnacentral:misc_RNA from 1 species